ACCUCGUUAGAUCACCGAAGUUAAGCAUCAUUGGGCGCGGUCAGUACUUGGGUGGGUGACAACCUGGGAACACUGCGUGCAGU
rnacentral:rRNA from 1 species